UUGCAUGAUGCAACCCCGGGCUUCUCUGAAAUAUUCAUGAAGUGAAAGCCCCAUUGCUUGUGCUAAAUGAUGCUAUUCGUGUUGCAGAUCAAUUUCAGCAACUCUACUAUUGAUCUGUGUCAAAGUAAUAGCAACAUUG